rnacentral:rRNA from 1 species
UUGACCUCGGCUCAGGUAGGGAUACCCGCUGAACUUAAGCAUAUCAAUAG